rnacentral:rRNA from 1 species
GGGCUUGACAUCCCACGAACCUGCCGAAAGGCAGGAGUGCCUGCAAGGGAGCGCGGAGACAGGUGGUGCAUGGCUGUCGUCAGCUCGUGUCGUGAGAUGUUGGGUUAAGUCCCGCAACGAGCGCAACCCUUAUGAUCAGUUACCAGCGGGUGAAGCCGGGGACUCUGGGGAGACUGCCGGUGACAAACCGGAGGAAGGUGGGGAUGACGUCAAGUCCGCAUGGCCUUUAUGUCUGGGGCCACACACGUGCUACAAUGGCCGGUACAGAGCGUCGCGAUCCCGCGAGGGGGAGCUAAUCGCAAAAAGCCGGCCUCAGUUCGGAUUGCAGGCUGCAACUCGCCUGCAUGAAGUUGGAAUCGCUAGUAAUCGCAGAUCAGCAGGCUGCGGUGAAUACGUUCCCGGGCCUUGUACACACCGCCCGUCACAUCACGAAAGCUGGCUGUACUCGAAGUCGCUUAG